GCCUACAGUAGCUUAUUAUUUAAAGCGUCGGUCUUGUAAACCGAAACAGGGCACACUAACCCCUUAGGCG
rnacentral:tRNA from 1 species